GUCAGGAUGGCCGAGUGGUCUAAGGCGCCAGACUCAAGUUGCUACUUCCCAGGGUUGGGGCUUCUGGUCUCCACAUGGAGGCGUGGGUUCGAAUCCCACUUCUGACA
rfam:Gorilla gorilla gorilla genomic chromosome, chr6, whole genome shotgun sequence